UCAAGUGCAAAACUGAUUUGAAGCCUCCUUAGUUGUAGAGAAAACUCAAGUUCCCACACAAAUCCUUCAUCCUUUCUUCUCUUUAGAAGCUCCCUUUGUUUUUCUUAAAGAAGUCCAAGCUUGAAUUCAAGACCAAAAUCUUCACCUCACCCCUGAGUUUCUUAAAUGUGACUAUGUGGUAACGAGUAGACGCUUGGGGAAAGUGGGGUGAUUCUCUAAAUAAAUGAAUGUUUUAUUUUCUACUACUAUU
rnacentral:lncRNA from 1 species